UUGAAAUUUUGGAAGAGAGACCUUGAAUCUUGAUCUUGCAGGUGGAGGGUGGAGCACCAGAGUCCAGAUGAGAAAGAAAGAGCCAAGGUUCACUUUGAAAGACUUGAGCUGAGAAAAAAUGCAAUCAGGAGUCCUCAUUUUCACACCCUCCGGCUGAUGUUAGUUGUAUCAUAUCAUUAUAUACAGAAAGCUUUAUUGUUUUAUUUUUCUCACCCCUUCUACUAUCGGUAAUGUAAUGCCCUCUCUCUCAUGAUCAGCAUCCGAAGGCUUAAAGUGUGCAGUAGUUAUUGUUGUUGGUGGGUGGACUCUCUCUCUCUCUC